GCCCAGGUGCCACAGUGCCCCAGGUACACCUGAGACAGGUGACACGGGGUUCCCCAGGUGACAGGAGGUGCCCCAGGUACACCUGAGACAGGUGCCACGGGGUUCCCCAGGUGACAGGAGGUGCCCCAGGUACACCUGAGACAGGUGCCACAGUGACCCAGGUACACCUGAGACAGGUGCCACGGGGUUCCCCAGGUGCCACAGUGCCCCAGGUACACCUGAGACAGGUGACACCAUGACCCAGGUACACCUGAGACAGGUGACAGGAGGUGCCCCAGGUACACCUGAGACAGGUG